rnacentral:rRNA from 1 species
UACGUAGGGGGCAAGCGUUGUCCGGAAUCAUUGGGCGUAAAGAGCGUGUAGGCGGCUCGGUAAGUCUGCUGUGAAAGUCCAGGGCUCAACCCUGGGAUGCCGGUGGAUACUGUCGAGCUCGAGUCCGGAAGAGGCGAGUGGAAUUCCUGGUGUAGCGGUGAAAUGCGCAGAUAUCAGGAGGAACACCAAUGGCGAAGGCAGCUCAGCUGGGACGUGACUGACGCUGAGACGCGAAAGCGUGGGGAGCGAACAGG